rnacentral:misc_RNA from 1 species
ACUGCUGAUUUGAAAGAGCAUGCUGCUGAUUUGAAAGAGCAUGCUGCUGCUGUGGAUUACUGUUCUGCAGCUGCUGUUGUUGCUGCUGCUGCAUAUGAGCCAUUUUUAACUUAAUCAGCGUAUCUGUAUCUCCACGAGACAAAAGAGAGGCACCGGCUUGCAAAGGAGAUCCAACAUUUGGCACCAUUUCACCAAUAGGAUUCGUAAGCCCAUCCUUCCCAGGCACAAUAUUCCGGUUGUUCCAAAGCAUUCUCAAUCUUCUAUUCUCAUCACUAGCAGAUGGUGAUGUUAAAUUUUGCUGUGCAAGCAUAAGCUGUUGCUGGUGUUGUGGUGUCAACAUCUGAAGUUGAUGAAAGGGCUGAGGAGCCUGUAUAAAAGGUUUUUGUUGCUGAAGAGAGCGAAGUUGGUCCAGUCCAGUGAGUGGCCACCCUUUUAAAGUCAAAUUGUUACCACCUUGAUUUGAUCCAUGAAUUCCUAUUAAUGAUGCCUCUGGACCAGCAGCUCUGGGAUUUAUUACAGGAUUAAUCUCACUCUUUAUGUCUGGUGUGGACCCUGGAAGUUGCUGAUUUCGAGCCUGAACCUGUGGGGACAUUCCACCCGCUGUACCAUGCAACACUUGCCCUGAAGGCUGCCCAGGUGCUGCAGACUUCAAUAUUGAGGCAUGAUUU